ensembl:lncRNA
GGAGCCUGAUGGGCUAUAGUCCAUGGGGUCGCAAAGAGUCAGACAGGACUGAGCGACUUCACUUUCACUUUCUUUCUAUGGAGAGGGUGCUUUGUAUAUGCCCGAGGCUUCUUGGAUGCUGGACGCACUCUAAGAGCUGAGAAACUGCCAUCCCUUUUGCCAUCGACAUGGACGCAUAUUUAGGACGUGGAUGAUUUGGACCCAUCUACUGAUGUGAAUGAACUAUUCAUCAGAAGACAUAUGUAAUCAGUGUGAG